rnacentral:rRNA from 1 species
GAUGAACGCUAGCGGCAGGCCUAACACAUGCAAGUCGAGGGAGAAGCCUUCGGGCUGAAACCGGCGCACGGGUGCGUAACGCGUAUACAAUCUGCCUUUCACAUAGGGAUAGCCCGAAGAAAUUUGGAUUAAUACCUAAUGGUAUAUAAGAGCGGCAUCGUUUUUAUAUUAAAGCUACGGUGGUGAAAGAUGAGUAUGCGUUCUAUUAGCUAGUUGGAGAGGUAACGGCUCCCCAAGGCGACGAUAGAUAGGGGUUCUGAGAGGGAUGUCCCCCACACUGGUACUGAGAUACGGACCAGACUCCUACGGGAGGCAGCAGUGAGGAAUAUUGGACAAUGGUCGGAAGACUGAUCCAUCCAUGCCGCGUGCAGGAUGAAGGUCCUAUGGAUUGUAAACUGCUUGUGUUGGGGAAGAAUAAGGAGUACGUGUACUUUGAUGACGGUACCUUACGUAGAAUCAUCGGCUAUCUCCGGGCCGGCAUCCUCGGUAAUACGGAGGAUGCGACCGUUAUCCGGAAUCAUUGGGUUUGAGGAGUCCGUGGGCGGGCUGAUAAUUCAUAUGUGAAAGCGGGUGUUCAACUUAACAGCUUGCCUUUAAACUGUUUGUUUGAAUGAUUGUAAGUUGUUGUAAUGUGUUGUGUUUGUGUUGAAUUGUUGGAUGCUAGUCUGUCUGUGAUGUUGGUUGGUGGUUGGUUUGUUGUUGUUGUGUGGUUGUGUUGUUGUGCUGUUGGUGAUGUGAUGUGUGUGUGAUAGUGUGUGCGUUGUGUGUUGAUUGUGUUUGCUUUGUUGUGUGUGUGUGUGUUGUUGCGGUGUGGUGGUUUGUAAAAAAAAUGAAUGUGAUGUGUGGUUGUGUUUGUUUGUGUGUUGUGUUGUUGGCUGUCGGUUGUGUGCUAGUGCUGUGUGCCGGUAGUUGUUGUGGUGUGUGUGUUGUGUGUGGUAGUGUGUGUGUGUAGUGUGUGAGGUGAUGAUGUGUCGUGCUUUUGUUGUUGGCUGUAGAUAUGGAUGUCGCUGUGAUGUCUGUUGCUUGUUUGCUUGUUC